UACGAAGGGGGCUAGCGUUGCUCGGAUUGACUGGGCGUAAAGGGCGCGUAGGCGGUUCGUACAGUCAGACGUGAAAUUCCUGGGCUCAACCUGGGGGCUGCGUUUGAUACGUGCGGACUUGAGUGCGGAAGAGGGUCGUGGAAUUCCCAGUGUAGAGGUGAAAUUCGUAGAUAUUGGGAAGAACACCGGUGGCGAAGGCGGCGACCUGGACCAUAACUGACGCUGAUGCACGAAAGCUAGGGGAGCAAACAGG
rnacentral:rRNA from 1 species